GGUGGGAACUAAGAAUGUGGGGCCCAGUCCCACGGAAUCCCGUGUCCACGGAUACGCCUUUAAGUUCCCCGCCUUGUGCAGUACGCCGCAAAGGCUUAAACUCAAAGGAAUUAACGGGGGCCCGGACAAGCGGCGGAGCAUGCGGAUUAAUUCGAUGCAACGCGAAGAACCUUACCAAGGCUUGACAUAUAGAGGAAAAGUGCAGAGAUGCGCUCCCCGCAAGGUCUCUAUACAGGUGGUGCAUGGUUGUCGUCAGCUCGUGUCGUGAGAUGUUGGGUUAAGUCCCGCAACGAGCGCAACCCUCGUCCUAUGUUGCCAGCACGUAAUGGUGGGAACUCAUGGGAUACUGCCGGGGUCAACUCGGAGGAAGGUGGGGAUGACGUCAAAUCAUCAUGCCCCUUAUGUCUUGGGCUUCACGCAUGCUACAAUGGCCUGGUACAGAGGGCAGCAAUACCGCAAGGUGGAGCGAAUCCCAGAAAGCCGGUCUCAGUUCGGAUUGAGGUCUGCAACUCGACCUCAUGAAGUCGGAGUCGCUAGUAAUCGCGUAUCAGCAACGUCGCGGUGAAUACGUUCCCGGGCCUUGUACACACCGCCCGUCAAGUCAUGAAAGUCGGUACACCCGAAGCCGGUGGCCCAACCUUUUGGAGGGAGCCGUC
rnacentral:rRNA from 1 species